rnacentral:tRNA from 1 species
UUGGGUGUGGCUCAAUGGUUGAGCAUUUGCCUGGCCUGCAGGAGACCUUGGAUUCUAUCCCCAGCACCGAAA